CCCAACUGACUGUUCAACAUGGCUGCUGUCUGAAUAAGUUUACCUGCCAAUAGGGACUUCACCUGAACAACUCUACUGCUUCCCAAUUCCCAUCCUCUGUGCAAGAGGCUGGACCAACCAACAGGAGACAAAAGCCACACUCCCUCACUGGCUUCCCACCAGAAACUCAUCAAAUCGCAUAACCAAUAUGAUACAGCUGUCAGGGUCUCUGCUGUGGCGGUUGCCAUCUAGCCCGCACCCUCACGUCAACCUGAACCGCUGGACUUGGCCGCCUCCUGCGCGUCCAUCUCCAUUAACUGCUUGCUGAGGCAGGAUGAUGGGAAAUAUGACAUGGGAGCUGCGCCAUGUGUGUGUGUGCAGGUACAUGAACAUGACUGAUAGGUUUGGUGCCACAUUGUGACAGCUGCUGGGACUUCCCAGAGCAGGUGUGCAUUAGACUGAGGGCAUGUUUCUGGAUGUGGGAUGCUUAAGUGGCCAAACGUCCCCUGACAACUGUCCUCUCACCUCACCAUCAGGGCAGGUAUCCUGUCACGCGUCCCUGCUUUCUCUGUUUGCUUAGACAUCCCUGUGGUUGCUCUAGACACAAUUGGUUCUUAUGUAACUUGAGUUUAUGGCGUUACAUAAAAUGCAGAUGGAUAAAUAAAUGUUCACGCUGCAGUGAGCCCUCCACUACACAACAAAAAAUAAGAGGUCACUGAACUGAGUGCUUUAUUCUAUAUUAUAUUAAUGGCAACUCAAAUUACAUAUGUGACUCAUAUCUGCAUGUGCUCUCCUGUUUUUAUCUCAUAAAUUAAUACGA